CUAGGCCUCCCUCUCGGUCCCUGAGACCCUUAUCCUGUGAGGGAGCCCAGAGCUCACAGGUGAGGCCUUGGGAACUGGGCGGGUGGCCCCCCCAC
rnacentral:pre_miRNA from 1 species